AUCGAAAGAAGAGGUUGCCUUAAACAUCAGUAACUAACUUGAGACGAAAAGCGUCGAUGAUGGUUAGUGAAAGGGUGCGAGGCCGAAGUGCGUGUGAGCUUUUUCGAACACGUGUUGGGAUCUAGUUUAAUAGACUAGGAACUGUCGCUGUACAAAGUUACAGCGGAGCGCUAUCUACGAU
rnacentral:ncRNA from 1 species